GCCGAUGAGGUGGCUGGGGCGACGGUAAGAGGAAGGGCGCUAGCGUUUGCCGGAUUCAUUGGGAGUAAAGUGCUCGGAGGGGGGUUGUUGGGUCGUCCGGGGAAUGCCAUGGCUUAACUGGGGGCUUGCGGUCGAGACGGGCGGGCUGGAGUUCGGUAGGUGAGACUGGAAUUCCUGGUGUAGCGGUGAAAGGCGCAGAUAUCAGGAGGAACACCGGUGGCGAAGGCGGGUCUCUGGGCCGAUACUGACGCUGAGGAGCGAAAGCGUGGGGAGCGAACAGGAUUAGAUACCCGUGUAGUC
rnacentral:rRNA from 1 species